AUAGCACUUUAACAGGUCCUGGCCUUGUGUGGUAGGCCAUGAUUUGGUAGCUGGUGCUUAAAACAAUGUGUCCCCAUAGCGAAAAACCAGAGGUUCUUUAUACCUUUUGGAUCAUUAAUGGGGAAGACAUGU
rnacentral:snoRNA from 1 species